UCUACGGUGUGCAGCAGUGGGGAAUAUUGGACAAUGGGCGAAAGCCUGAUCCAGCCAUGCCGCGUGUGUGAAGAAGGCCUUCGGGUUGUAAAGCACUUUCAGUGGGGAAGAAAGCCUUGGGGCUAAUACCCUCGAGGAAGGACAUCACCCACAGAAGAAGCACCGGCUAACUCCGUGCCAGCAGCCGCGGUAAUACGGAGGGUGCGAGCGUUAAUCGGAAUUACUGGGCGUAAAGCGCGCGUAGGCGGUCUGAUAAGCCGGUUGUGAAAGCCCCGGGCUCAACCUGGGAACGGCAUCCGGAACUGUCAGGCUAGAGUGCAGGAGAGGAAGGUAGAAUUCCCGGUGUAGCGGUGAAAUGCGUAGAGAUCGGGAGGAAUACCAGUGGCGAAGGCGGCCUUCUGGACUGACACUGACGCUGAGGUGCGAAAGCGUGGGUAGCAAACAGGAUUAGAUACCCCUGUAGUC
rnacentral:rRNA from 1 species